GAUCCUGGCUCAGGAUGAACGCUAGCUACAGGCUUAACACAUGCAAGUCGGAGGGGCAGCAUUUCAGUUUGCUUGCAAACUGGAGAUGGCGACCGGCGCACGGGUGAGUAACACGUAUCCAACCUGCCGAUAACUCGGGGAUAGCCUUUCGAAAGAAAGAUUAAUACCCGAUGGUAUAAUCAGACCGCAUGGUCUUGUUAUUAAAGAAUUUCGGUUAUCGAUGGGGAUGCGUUCCAUUAGGCUAGG
rnacentral:rRNA from 1 species